UACGGAGGGUGCAAGCGUUGUUCGGAUUUAUUGGGCGUAAAGGGCGUGUAGGCGGUCCGUUAAGUCUGAUGUGAAAGCCCCGGGCUCAACCUGGGAAGUGCAUUGGAAACUGGCGGACUUGAGUACGGGAGAGGGCAGUGGAAUUCCUAGUGUAGGAGUGAAAUCCGUAGAUAUUAGGAGGAACACCGGUGGCGAAGGCGGCUGCCUGGACCGAUACUGACGCUGAGGAGCGAAAGCGUGGGGAGCGAACAGG
rnacentral:rRNA from 1 species